UUUUUGUAAAUAGUUAUUGUUUAAAUCCAACUUAUAAGUUAGAAAGAGUGAUAAGUUUCAGAAAACUGAACUUCAGUUUUUCUGCUGUUAGAACCACUAAGAUCAGUUGGAACUGUUGCACUUUCUGGCAGUUGAUUGGCAGUUGUUUUCAGUUCAACUGAAGUGCCCUCCGUGUCUGGAAUGAGAGUCCCUGUCUAGUUGUUUUGAACGUGCCGCACUGAGAUCGAUCAGGGUUUUUUUUGUUGUUGUGUUGUUUUUGCUUUUUUGCUUUUUCUUCUCUUCUCCUGGAUUGUUCCUGGAGUGGAUUUCCCUACUGACUUUGAUGGCGAGCCUUCCCACCUGGACUUAGAAAGAUCUGGAUUUCCUCCCAUGAUGAGAGCCUUCCCACCUGGACUUAGAAAGAUCUGGAUUUCCUCCCAUGUUGAGUGAGACCUGAACCAGGAUUUAAUUUGAUUCAUUUGUCAUCUAAAAGAGAUUAGAGCGCAAACUACCAGGGUGCACCCAAUAGAUUUAAAUUUGAUAUUUAGCACUUGGCCAAGUAUUGUUGUUUUAUUUCAUGUAUUUUAUUGUGUGUAAUUUUAUUUUCUUAAUUGUAUGUCUUGUCCACUUGUGAGUUUAUGAUUCAUGUUACUAAAGCUAAUUGUUUUUUAAAUUCA